rnacentral:lncRNA from 1 species
UUUUAAAUUUAUACUUGUACUUGUGAUACCAAAUUGAACUUCGUAUUUUAUGACAGUUUAUCUUGACCUAGUGUCGUUAUUUUAUUGGUUAACUUAUUUCUUCAAAUUCUAGAUGCAUACUGUCAGUCAAGUUGACUUAGUUAAUAGCGCUCAGUCAAUUUCCAUCCAUUUAGAUCCUCAUGCUGUCAAAAGCCUAAAACUCAUGUUUGAAGCACACAUUUAAUUAGAAAUGUGUUAUAUUUGGUUUUCCCCAUGUGAUUUUUAUUUCUUGAUUGACAGAAAUGGAACCCAGGAGAACUAGAAGCUCUCUUCUUUUUCCAUCUUUAAAACCUAUUAGAAAUGCGAGGAUGGUCAAGUCUACACAUGUGUCUUCUCAUGAGUUGGCCAUGCUGAAGGCCUCAAAACCAAUGCUACAUUAGAUGAAUUUGUGAGUGAUUGAUUGUGAUGCCACUGAUGGAAUUAUCACCCAUUAUUACAUCAUGUUUGCUGUUCUGUUUACCCUUUUCCCAGUUUAUAUAGGGGAAUCAAAAUGUGCCAUCAGUUAAGUCAAUGGAUGGCGCUUGCUGCCGCUACUGGUCUUAAACGAUGUCUUGAAAUCAGUUUUGAAUAAUAGUUGGAAUCUGGGGAAUCCUCACUCAUUAUCGAAGUCGGCCAGUUUGUUCAGACACGAUGUCAUUCACGCUUGAAGGUCGCGGGGAAACAUUACGUGUAAAACUGUCAAUGCGGUGGUGUAGAGGUUGGUCGAGAACUGGACGUGU